rnacentral:rRNA from 1 species
UCGACGGUGAGGGACGAAAGCUGGGGGCACGAACCGGAUUAGAUACCCGGGUAGUCCCAGCCGUAAACGAUGCUCGCUAGGUGUCAGGCAUGGCGCGACCGUGUCUGGUGCCGCAGGGAAGCCGUGAAGCGAGCCACCUGGGAAGUACGGCCGCAAGGCUGAAACUUAAAGGAAUUGGCGGGGGAGCACAACAACGGGUGGAGCCUGCGGUUUAAUUGGACUCAACGCCGGACAACUCACCGGGGACGACAGCAAAAUGUAGGCCAGGCUGAAGACCUUGCCUGAAUCGCUGAGAGGAGGUGCAUGGCCGUCGCCAGUUCGUACUGUGAAGCAUCCUGUUAAGUCAGGCAACGAGSGGAGACCC